rnacentral:rRNA from 1 species
GAUGAACGCUGGCGGCGUGCCUAAUACAUGCAAGUCGAGCGAACGGACGAGAAGCUUGCUUCUCUGAUGUUAGCGGCGCACGUGUGAGUAACACGUGGAUAACCUACCUAUAAGACUGGGAUAACUUCGGGAAACCGGAGCUAAUACCGGAUAAUCUUUUGAACCGCAUGGUUCAAAAGUGAAAGACGGUCUUGCUGUCACUUAUAGAUGGAUCCGCGCUGCAUUAGCUAGUUGGUAAGGUAACGGCUUACCAAGGCAACGAUGCAUAGACGACCGAAGGGGGGGAUAGGCCACACUGGAACUGAGACACGCUCCAGAAGCCUACGGGAGGGAGCAGUAGGGAAUCUUCCGCAGUGGGCGAAAGCCUGACGGAACAACGCCGCGUGAGUGAUAAAGGUCUUCGGAUCGGAAAACUCUGUUAUGAGGGAAGAACAUAUGUGUAAGUAACUGUGCAGAUCUUGACGGUAACUAAUCAAAAAGCAACGGCUAACUACGUG